rnacentral:rRNA from 1 species
GAUGAACGCUGGCGGCGUGCUUAACACAUGCAAGUCGAACGGAAAGGCCCAAGCUUGCUUGGGUACUCGAGUGGCGAACGGGUGAGUAACACGUGGGUGAUCUGCCCUGCACUUCGGGAUAAGCCUGGGAAACUGGGUCUAAUACCGGAUAGGACCACAUUUUGGAUGGUGUGGUGGAAAGUUUUUCGGUGUGGGAUGAGCUCGCGGCCUAUCAGCUUGUUGGUGGGGUAAUGGCCUACCAAGGCGUCGACGGGUAGCCGGCCUGAGAGGGUGUACGGACACAUUGGGACUGAGAUACGGCCCAGACUCCUACGGGAGGCAGCAGUGGGGAAUAUUGCACAAUGGGCGCAAGCCUGAUGCAGCGACGCCGCGUGGGGGAUGACGGCCUUCGGGUUGUAAACUCCUUUCGCUAGGGACGAAGCGUUAUGUGACGGUACCUGGAGAAGAAGCACCGGCUAACUACGUG